AAGUCGUAACAAGGUUUCCGUAGGUGAACCUGCGGAAGGAUCAUUAAUGAAUAACUUUGGCGUGGUUGUAGCUGGCUCCUUGGAGCAUGUGCACACCCGUCAUCUUUAUCUUUCCACCUGUGCACAACAUGUAGAUCUGGAUAACUCUCGCCUUCUGGCGGAAACAGGGAUUGCUGCGUCGCAAGGCCAGCUCUCCUUGAAUUUCCAGGUCUACGUCUUUACAAACUCCAAUUGAAUGAUGAAGAAUGUAGUCAAUGGGCUCUAAGCCUAUAAAACACAAUACAACUUUCAGCAACGGAUCUCUUGGCUCUC
rnacentral:misc_RNA from 1 species